UUUAAUACAACACUUGAUUGCCUUGACUUCUGGAGUUGUUUCCAUGGAUUGCUUUUUGGGAUUAACUAACAAUGCUUCUUAUUUCAGGAAACCAAGUGGGUGAAUCAAAAAGAUUGACAAAGUCCUCUUCUUGGACUCAAGAGGCGAGCAAAAACACUGGAAACAACAGAAUUCUGCAUGUCUGACAUUGUGCUUACAGAAGGUUAUGGCAG
rnacentral:lncRNA from 1 species